UUUAAGCAUGACCUCUGCCACCCAAAGAUU
rnacentral:piRNA from 1 species